GACGAACGCUGGCGGCGUGCUUAACACAUGCAAGUCGAACGGAAAGGCCCUGCUUGCAGGGUACUCGAGUGGCGAACGGGUGAGUAACACGUGGGUGAUCUGCCCUGCACUUCGGGAUAAGCCUGGGAAACUGGGUCUAAUACCGGAUAGGAGCCAUUUUUAGUGUGAUGGUUGGAAAGUUUUUUCGGUGUAGGAUGAGCUCGCGGCCUAUCAGCUUGUUGGUGGGGUAACGGCCUACCAAGGCGGCGACGGGUAGCCGGCCUGAGAGGGUGGACGGCCACAUUGGGACUGAGAUACGGCCCAGACUCCUACGGGAGGCAGCAGUGGGGAAUAUUGCACAAUGGGCGCAAGCCUGAUGCAGCGACGCCGCGGGGGGGAUGACGGCCUUCGGGUUGUAAACUCCUUUCGCUAGGGACGAAGCUUUUUGUGACGGUACCUAGAUAAGAAGCACCGGCUAACUACGUG
rnacentral:rRNA from 1 species